ensembl:lncRNA
GCGCUAUCAUAACAAUAACAGGUCUUAUAGACACACAUGACUAGUUAUGACUACGACCACUGACUUAAUUGCCUACUGUCAUGACACAAACCCAGAUGAGGUCAGCUACUGACUAGAGUAACUGUAGAUAUUGGAGGUCAGCUACUUGGCUAGAGUUACUGUAGAUAUUGGAGGUCAGCUACUUGGCUAGAGUUACUGUAGAUAUUGGAGGUCAGCUACUUGGCUAGAGUAACUGUAGAUAUUGGAGGUCAGCUACUUGGCUAGAGUUACUGUAGAUAUUGAGGUCAGCUACUUGGCUAGAGUUACUGUAGAUAUUGGAGGUCAUCUACUUGGCUAGAGUUACUGUAGAUAUUGGAGGUCAGCUACUUGGCUAGAGUUACUGUAGAUAUUGGAGGUCAGCUACUUGGCUAGAGUAACUGUAGAUAUUGAGGUCAGCUAUUUGGCUAGAGUUACUGUAGAUAUUGG